CUAAAACUGAAGAGACAGUCGAGGAGGAAGAGGUAAACUAUAACUGAAGAGACAGUCGAGGAGGAAGAGGUAAACUGAAACUGAAGAGACAGUCGAGGAGGAAGAGGUAAACUAUAACUGAAGAGACAGUCGAGGAGGAAGAGGUAAACUGAAACUGAAGAGACAGUCGAUGAGGAAGAGGUAAACUAUAACUGAAGUGACAGUCGAGGAGGAACAGGUCAUCUAAAACUGUAAAGACAGUCGAGGAAGAACAGGUCAACUAUAACUGAAGAGACAGUCGAGGACGAAGAUGUAAACUAAAACUGAAGAGACAGUCGAAGGGGAAUAUAUGAACUAAAACUGAAGAGACAGUCGAGGAGGAACAGGUAAACUAUAACUGAAGAGACAGUCGAGGAGAAAGGUCAACUAAAACUGAAGAGACAGUCGAGGACGAAGACGGAAACUAUAACUGAAGAGACAGUCGAGGAGGAAGAGGUAAACUAUAACUGAAGAGACAGUCGAGGAGGAAGAGGUAAACUAAAACUGAAGAGACAGUCGAGGAGGAACAGGUAAACUGUAACUAAAGAGACAGUCGAGGAGAAAGGUCAACUAACACUGAAGAGACAGUCGAGGACGAAGAUGGAAACUAUAACUGAAGAGACAGUCGAGAAGGAAGAUGUAAACUACAACUGAAGAGACAGUCGAGGAGGAAGAGGUAAACUACAACUGAAGAGACAGUCGAGGAGGAAGAGGUAAACUAUAACUGAAGAGACAGUCGAGGAGGAAGAGGUAAACUGAAACUGAAGAGACAGUCGAUGAGGAACAGGUAAACUAUAACUGAAGAGACAGUUGAGGAGAAAGGUCAACUAAAACUGAAGAGACAGUCGAGGACGAAGACGGAAACAAUAACUGAAGAGACAGUCGAGGAGGAACGGGUCAACUAAAACUGAAGAGACUGUCGAGGAAGAACAGGUCAACUAUAACUGAAGACACAGCCGAGGACGAACAUGUAAACUAAACCUGAAGAGACAGUCGAAGAGGAAGAGGUCAACUAAAACUGAAGAGACAGUUGAGGAGGAAGAGGUAAACUAUAACUGAAGAGACAGUCGAGGAGGAACGGGUCAACUAAAACUGAAGAGACUGUCGAGGAAGAACAGGUCAACUAUAACUGAAGACACAGUCGAGGACGAACAUGUAAACUAAACCUGAAGAGACAGUCGAAGAGGAAGAGGUCAACUAAAACUGAAGAGACAGUCGAGGAGGAAGAGGUAAACUAUAACUGAAGAGACAGUCGAGGAGGAACGGGUCAACUAAAACUGAAGAGACUGUCGAGGAAGAACAGGUCAACUAUAACUGAAGACACAGUCGAGGACGAACAUGUAAACUAAACCUGAAGAGACAGUCGAAGAGGAAGAGGUCAACUAAAACUGAAGAGACAGUCGAGGAGGAAGAGGUAAACUAUAACUGAAGAGACAGUCGAGGAGGAAGAGGUAAACUAAAACUGAAGAGACAGUCGAGGAGGAACAGGUAAUCUAAAACUGAAAAGACAGUCGAGGAAGAACAGGUAAACUAAAACUGAAGAAACAGUCGAAGGGGAAUAGAUAAACUAAAACUGAAGAGACAGUCGAGGGGGAAGAGGUAAACUAUAACUGAAGAAACAGUCGAAGGGGAAUUGAUUAACUAAAACUGAAGAGUCAGUCGAGGAGGUAGAGGUCAACUAAAACUGAAGAGACAGUCGAGGAGGAAGAGGUAAACUAUAACUGAAGAGACAGUCGAGAAGGAAGAGGUAAACUUCAACUGAAGAGACAGUCGAGGAGGAAGAGGUAAACUAUAACUGAAGAGACAGUCGAGAAGGAAGAGGUAAACUUCAACUGAAGAGACAGUCGAGGAGGAAGAGGUAAACUAUAGCUGAAGAGACAGUUGAGGUGGAAGAGGUAAACUAAAACUGAAGAGACAGUCGAGGAGGAAGAGGUAAACUAUAACUAAAGAGACAGUCGAGGAGAAAGGUCAACUAACACUGAAGAGACAGUCGAGGACGAAGAUGGAAACUAUAACUGAAGAGAUAGUCAAGGUGGAAGAGGUAAACUAAAACUGAAGAGACAGUCGAGGAGGAACAGGUAAACUAUAACUGAAGAGACAGUCGAGGAGGAAGAGGUAAACUAAAACUGAAGAGACAGUCGAGGAGGUAGAGAUCAACUAAAACUGAAGAGACAGUCGAGGACGAAGAUGUAAACUAAAACUGAAGAGACAGUCGAGGAGGAAGAGGUAAACUAUAACUGAAGAGACAGUCGAGGAGGAAGAGGUAAACUAAAACUGAAGAGACAGUCGAAGAGGAAGAGGUAAACUAAAACUGAAGAGACAGUCGAGGAGGAACAGGUAAACUAUAACUGAAGAGACAGUCGAGGAGGAAGAGGUAAACCAAAACUGAAGAGACAGUCGAGGAGGUAGAGGUCAACUAAAACUGAAGAGACAGUCGAGGACGAAGAUGUAAACUAAAACUGAAGAGACAGUCGAGGAGGAAGAGGUAAACUAUAACUGAAGAGACAGUCGAGAAGGAAGAGGUAAACUUCAACUGAAGAGACAGUCGAGGAGGAAGAGGUAAACUAUAACUGAAGAGACAGUCGAGAAGGAAGAGGUAAACUUCAACUGAAGAGACAGUCGAGGAGGAAGAGGUAAACUAUAGCUGAAGAGACAGUUGAGGUGGAAGAGGUAAACUAAAACUGAAGAGACAGUCGAGGAGGAAGAGGUAAACUAUAACUAAAGAGACAGUCGAGGAGAAAGGUCAACUAACACUGAAGAGACAGUCGAGGACGAAGAUGGAAACUAUAACUGAAGAGAUAGUCGAGGUGGAAGAGGUAAACUAAAACUGAAGAGACAGUCG